GCAUCCAUCCAAUGCACAAACACUCUUGUGCAAAGCCCGUUGUGCAAACACUCCUCGCACACUUUCACGCAUCCAUGUUUGAGCAGCACUGUGCAAAAGAGCACACCUGUGUGCAAGUAACUCUUUACACACUCACACACACCCAUCAGCACACAAACGCUUGUGCAAAAACCCACGUGCUACCCCCUGUGCACACUUUCACACAGCCAACACAGAGGUGUGCAAAUCCCCGCACCCACGUGCGAAGAACCUCUUGCACACCCAUCCACACACACAAUGCAACCCCACACUUUGCACUCUCACGUGCAAACUGUCCUGCAAUCGUGCACGCUCAUGUGCAAAUCCCAAAAAUCACACGCGCGGUCAUGCAAACACAGCCUUGCACACUCACGUGCCCAGCAUCCCCGUGCAAACGCAUUAGUGCAAGCAUUGCUCACAGCCAUCCAUCCGCAUGCACACUGUCUUGCAAUGCCCUUGUGUAAACUGCCCCCUUGCACACUUACACGCUGCCAACAGCACACACAUACGUGUGCAAAUCCCUAAGCCUCGUACAAACUCCCCUUUGCACACUCUCGUGUGUAACCCUCUUGUGCAAACCAUUUGCCCACCCAAGUGUGCAAGCCCAACCUUGCACCAACACACCUCAAUCUGCACCCAUCUGCCACCUCCCCUUUGCACACUUAAUUAUUGCACGCCCCAUUUGCGUGCGGAUGUGAGCAACCCAUCCUUGCACACCUCCCCCAACACCUUGCACACUGACAUGCGUGCAAAUGCAUGCACAACUGCUUGCCCACGUGCAGCUCAUCCCCAUGCAUUCUGUGCACUGAGCUUCCUUGCACACCUGCAUCCACAAAUCCACGUACGUGUGCAACAGCUGAGAGUGCAAAACAAACCACACAGCCCCAAUAUUAUCCUUGCACACUCAUCGCAACAGCCUCCCUUGUGUAAGCGGCCCUUCACACCCAUGUGCCAAACACCCCCCACGUGCAAAUGCACUCUUGCACACGCAGUCUUGUGCAAAAUCCAGCUGGAAAGCCGCCUUCCGCUCUACUUCUUGCACAUCUACUGGCACGCACACCCACACCACUUUUGCACACCCUUGUGCCUAUGCAGCCAUCCACUCACGUGUCUUUUGCACACUCACUUGAACACACUCAUGCUCACACACAUUCAUUUGCACCUUUGUCCUUGCACACUCAUUUGCAAUACAACCAUUGCGUGCACACGCCUGCUCUUGUGCAAGCUGCCCCCUUUCACACCCAUGUUCAAAACCCAGUGCAUUCCCACCCACGUGCAAAGGCUCCCUUGCACAGCCACUUGCAACACACUUGUGCAAAAUCCAUACUUUUGCAUGCUCUUGUCGACAGGUCUACACACUCGUGUGCACCUCUCCUAACACGAAUCUUGCACAAUCCUUGCACACACACCCACAUUCCAUUGCACACCCACCUGCAACGUGCACACCCAUUGGCCUGCUUGUGCAAAUCCAUGCACGUUUGCACACUGUCGCACACGUGUGCAACCCCAUCGCACCCCCGCAUGCAAACUCCUUGCAGCGCUCAUUCGCGUGUGUACAGGCGUGCAACACGAGCCUUUCACACACCCACACUGAUGUACAAGUGUGCAAACCUUUGCACACUCAGAACUCAAUCCCUGCACACUUUCAAAACCCUUUUCACACCCAUUUUCACAAGCAUGUACUUCCCCCAACAAACAAGAACCUCCCUUUGCACACCCAACCCACAUAAGUGUGCAAAAGCCCCCAUCCACUUGCAAAUACCUCCUUGCACUUGUGCACAUUUACACACUCUCCUGCAUGCACGCACACCACCACCCCCCUUUUGCACACCCAGCUGCACACAAGCACAGGGAUCCCAUCCAUGUGCACUCACGAGCACAUGCAGCCCCAACCCCUUGCGCCCUCUUGUGCAAAACCUUUGCACACCUCACCGCAUCCCAGCCUGGUGCACACGCACAGCUGUGCACAAUCCCCCCUUUACACACCUAUUCACACACAGAGACACGUACAAAACCACCCUUGCGCUCCCAGUCUGCACCCACAAAAGAGUGUGCAAGCAUGUAACCUUGCACAAGCACGUAUGUGCAAACUGCGUGCUCACACACACACUUGUGCAACAGCACGCUUUGCACACUCAUGAGCAAGCCCAUCUUUGCUACUACCUCCCCACGUACGUGCAGCCACCCCUUUGCACACUCGUGUGCAACCUCAUGUGCAACCGCAUAUCUUUGCACAACCACGCACACUUGCACUUCAGGCCCCCCACCCUCACUCUCCCAGUCUUUCCUUUGCACAAUCACAUUUGCAACACAGUUGUGCACACUCACCAAGCGUGCAAAGCCCCCCACUGCACACCCAGCCGCUCACACACUCGUUUAGUGCCAUCCCUGCACAACCACAUGUGUGCAAAUCCUUUCACUGCACACCCACGUGCAUUCACACACACACACACCCCAUCCUUGCACUCCUAAUGGGCAGCAUAAGCGUGCAAGCCCACCCCAUUGCACACCCAGUUGCUCACGCACAGCGGUGCAUCCCAUCCUUACCCACAUCCAAAUGCGCAAACAAGUGUGCAAAUCAUUGCACACCUGUGGCCACACGUGCGAGUGCAAACCAAUACGUGCAUCCCCACGUUUGCACGCCAAACGUGCACAAGCGUGUAAGCCCCCCCAUUGCACACUCAGCUGCUCGCACACUCAUGUAUUCCCAUCCUGGGACAACUCCACGUGUGCAAAUACCUCCCGUUGCACACCUGUGGGGACACAGACAAGAGUGCCACACCCUCGUGCACACACCCACGUGUGCAAAUCCCCACAUGGCACCCCCUUGCGCACACACACACUUGUGCAUCCCCAUCCUUGCACUCAAUUCACACAUGAAAAUCCCCAAUUGCACACCUAUGGACACACACACAAGUGUAACACCAUCGUGCACACGCAACCAAGUGUGCAAGUCUGUCCCCCCUUCGCACACCCAGCUCCUCACACACUUGUACAUCCCCAUCCCUUGACACACCCACGCGUGCAAACACCCCCCAUGUGCAGAGCUCUCCUUACACACCUGUGGAAACACACACGAAAGUACAACACCCUCGUGCACACUUCCCCCAUUUGCACACUCACUCCACAUGUUCUUAACCCUAUUUGCACACGCAAGCCCUCUCGUGCAUCCCCAACCUUUGCACACCCACCCCACACGUGUGCACCAGCUCCUACAUUUGCACACCCACCACCAUGUUCACAACCCCCCUUUCAUUUGCACACCUAGUCCCCAACAACUGUGCAACCCCCCCCAAUUUACACACCCA
rnacentral:lncRNA from 1 species